AUUGAACGCUGGCGGCAUGCCUUACACAUGCAAGCCGAACGGCAGCACGGGUGCUUGCACCUGGUGGCGAGUGGCGAACGGGUGAGUAAUACAUCGGCACGUACCUUAUCGUGGGGGAUAACGCAGCGAAAGCUGUGCUAAUACCGCAUACGCCCUGAGGGGGAAAGCGGGGGAUCGCAAGACCUCGCGCGAUUAGAGCGGCCGAUGCCUGAUUAGCUUGUUGGUGGGAUAAAAGCCCACCAAGGCGACGAUCAGUAGCUGGUCUGAGAGGACGAUCAGCCACACUGGGACUGAGACACGGCCCAGAGUCCUACGGGAGGCAGCAGUGGGGAAUUUUGGACAAUGGGGGCAACCCUGAUCCAGCAAUGCCGCGUGAGUGAAGAAGGCCUUCGGGUUGUAAAGCUCUUUUGUCAGGGAAGAAACACCGGCUCUAACACAGUCCGGGAAUGACGGUACCUGAAGAAUAAGCACCGGCUAACUACGUGCCAGCAGCCGCCGUAA
rnacentral:rRNA from 1 species